UAAUAACUGCGUUGUGAUUUCAAGCCAUUUAGGCUUCGCCAGGCUCGCCGCAGCGAGCAGAAAAUGGCAGUUGAGCGAUAUUACAGGAAAAACAAACACCGCCCGCAUCUCCCUGCAUGUCUCAGCUGCAGCGUCGACGAGCCGCCUCUUACUCCGGUUUGGUUCCCGACCGUUGGCCUUGCACAGAAUAGAGUCUGUGUUUCCAGACGGAAGACAAAGCAUCGGAGCAGAAGAAAUGAAGGAAGAUGGAAAAGAGGGAGGUGGUGCCCUACGGCGCAUCAUCCUGAUUGAAGCGGCCAUCAGAAGAUCGUCUCACUGUGGUCAUAAAGAGCUGGACAGAAGACAGCAACAAUACUCAGUGAGGUGAAUGCAGUGCCUCAGAGAACCAUCUGACUGAGGCUAUUCCUCCCAUGCCCUCAGAAGAUCAGGAUCAUCAGAGAUGUGGCAGUCAAUAUUAAACACAGUUAACAUUUCAGAAUAGCUGACACACAUGUGAUCAGAUCAAUUGCCUUCCUUACUUAAAGACACGCUUUUAAAAGUCCAUGUCUGCUGGGAUUGUGGCCUGAAGGGUGGGGAUCUUAUGGCAACAGGAACUUUGUGCAAAACAAAUAAAAAUGUCCAAACUAUUACUGUAAAUGGCUUGAUACAUGGAGGAGUGAGUAUCUGUAUAAUGCCCACGGUAACAGUUGUUACUACAAUACAACGCUCUGUUGAAACAGCGUAUUCUGAUAACCAGUGGCUUUUUGAAAAGCUUUCAUUGUCCCGUUUUCUCCCUUGUCAACCUGCAUUCUCUGUGGUUCAUCCGCCUACACA